rnacentral:rRNA from 1 species
AGCGAACGCUGGCGGCAGGCCUAAUACAUGCAAGUCGAACGCACCUUCGGGUGAGUGGCGGACGGGUGAGUAACGCGUGGGAACGUGCCCUUUGGUACGGAACAACUGAGGGAAACUUCAGCUAAUACCGUAUGUGCCCUUCGGGGGAAGACUUAUCGCCAUUGGAGCGGGCCGGGUUGGAUUAGCUAGUUGGUGGGGUAAAGGGUCACCAAGGCUACGAUCCAUAGCUGGUCUGAGAGGAUGAUCAGCCACACUGGGACUGAGACACGGCCCAGACUCCUACGGGAGGCAGCAGUAGGGAAUCUUGCGCAAUGGGCGAAAGCCUGACGCAGCCAUGCCGCGUGAAUGAUGAAGGUCUUAGGAUUGUAAAAUUCUUUCACCGGGGAAGAUAAUGACGGUACCCGGAGAAGAAGCCCCGGCUAACUUCGUGCCAGCCGCCGCGGUAAAAC